ACAGCGGCACACUUCUUCUCUCUCUGCUACCUACUCUACAUAGAGAUCUUACCUGGGGGGAAGGAGGAGAUGGAGGGAGGUGGAGGCGCUAGGAUGGGGGGAUGCGGAACCCUAGGCCAAGGGGCACGCACGCCUAGGCUAUAUAAGGGCCUCGACGUCCGUGAGCCUCACGGUGUUCUCGCUCUCUCACUGGCGUCUAACGGAAAGCAACACAUUGGGGGGACGCUCUCUGAAGAAAGGAGAAGGAGGUCAUGCUAUGGGCUGCCGCUAGGAACAGAGAGGGAGAGUUGGGCCACGGGAGGGAAAGAGGCCCAACGCUGGCGACAGAUAAAGGAAAAGAAACCCACUGGGUU
rnacentral:lncRNA from 1 species